rnacentral:rRNA from 1 species
GACGAACGCUGGCGGUGUGCUUAACACAUGCAAGUCGAACGGAAACGCCCUGCUUUCGUGGGGUUCCCGGGUGGCGAACGGGUGAGUAACACGUGAGUAACCUGCUCUAGACUUUGGGAUAACUUCAGGAAACUGGGGUUAAUACCGUAUAGGAUCUCCCGUUGCGGUGAGGGGGUUGGAAAUUCUCGGCGGGAGGGGCUGGAUUCGCGGCUUAUCAGCUUGUUGGUGGGGUAGGUGCUUACCAAGGCUGUGACGGAUAGCCGGCCGGGGAGGGUGACCGGGCACAUGGGGACUGAGAUACGGCCCAGACGGGUACGGGAGGCAGCAGUGGGGAAUCUUGCACAAUGGGACGAAGCCUGAUGCGGAAACGCCGCGGGCGUGAUGACGGCCUUCGGGUUGUAAACAGCUUUCGCCUGUGACGAAGCGUGAGUGACGGUAAUGGGUGAAGAAGCACCGGCUAACUACGUG